rnacentral:rRNA from 1 species
UACGGGGGGGGCAAGCGUUGUUCGGAAUUACUGGGCGUAAAGGGCUCGUAGGCGGCCAACUAAGUCAGACGUGAAAUCCCUCGGCUUAACCGGGGAACUGCGUCUGAUACUGGAUGGCUUGAGUUUGGGAGAGGGAUGCGGAAUUCCAGGUGUAGCGGUGAAAUGCGUAGAUAUCUGGAGGAACACCGGUGGCGAAGGCGGCGAUCCUGGCCAACACUGACGCUGAGUGAGCGAAAGCCAGGGGAGCAAAAGCGGGG